UGCCCAGCAACUCAUAUCUCUACCUCCUCGUGGUACCGGCCGGAAACUAUGAGCAACUUUAGGGAAGAUCGGGUAACCAACCCCGGUGAGAACUUUGGUCGUAGGCUGACAGGGAAGG
rnacentral:ribozyme from 1 species